AGGGAGGUUUGAUCCUUGGCUCAGAACGAACGCUGGCGGCGUGCUUAAGACAUGCAAGUCGAACGAGAAAGUCACCUUCGGGUGGCGAGUACAGUGGCGCACGGGUGAGUAACGCGUGGAUAAUCUGCCCUGGGGUCUGGAACAACAGCUGGAAACGGCUGCUAAUACCGGAUGAGCCCACGACUUCUUCGGGAGAUGUGGGAAAAGAUGGCCUCUUCUUGAAAGCUAUCGCCUGAGGAUGAGUCCGCGUCCCAUUAGCUUGUUGGUAGGGUAACGGCCUACCAAGGCAUCGAUGGGUAGCUGGUCUGAGAGGAUGAUCAGCCACACUGGGACUGAGACACGGCCCAGACUCCUACGGGAGGCAGCAGUCGGGAAUUUUGUCCAAUGGGCGCAAGCCUGAGACAGCAACGCCGCGUGAGGGAUGAAGGCCUUCGGGUCGUAAACCUCUGUCAGGGGGGAAGAAUGGGCCGCGAGCCAAUACCUCGCGGUUUUGACGGUACCCCCAAAGGAAGCGCCGGCUAACUCCGUGCCAGCAGCCGCGGUAAUACGGAGGGCGCAAGCGUUGUUCGGAAUUAUUGGGCGUAAAGCGGGUGUAGGCGGUCGAGAAAGUCGGAUGUGAAAUCCCCGGGCCCAACCCUGGAAUUGCAUUCGAAACUGCUCGACUAGAGUCUGGGAGAGGGUGGCGGAAUUCCCGGUGUAGAGGUGAAAUUCGUAGAUAUCGGGAGGAACACCAGUGGCGAAGGCGGCCACCUGGACGGUGA
rnacentral:rRNA from 1 species